rnacentral:rRNA from 2 species
UGGGGAAUAUUGCACAAUGGGCGCAAGCCUGAUGCAGCCAUGCCGCGUGUGUGAAGAAGGCCUUCGGGUUGUAAAGCACUUUCAGCGAGGAGGAAGGUGGUGAACUUAAUACGUUCAUCAAUUGACGUUACUCGCAGAAGAAGCACCGGCUAACUCCGUG